rnacentral:rRNA from 1 species
UACGAAGGUCCCGAGCGUUAUCCGGAUUUAUUGGGUUUAAAGGGUGCGUAGGCGGGUUAUUAAGUCAGUGGUGAAAGCCUUCAGCUUAACUGAAGAACUGCCAUUGAUACUGAUGAUCUUGAGUAUGAUUGAGGUGGGCGGAAUGUGUCAUGUAGCGGUGAAAUGCUUAGAUAUGACACAGAACACCGAUUGCGAAGGCAGCUCACUA